rnacentral:lncRNA from 1 species
AUGGCGGUGGUGGUAGCUGCUAAGGCGCUGAAGGGCCGGGGGGAUGGAGGGCAAGAAAUGCCCGCGUCCUCCGGGGGAUUCUCGCAGGAGCCACAGCUAACAAGGCUUCCCAUAACAGGACCCAGGCACUGCAAACCCACAGCUCCCAAGAAGGCAGGGAGGAACCUGAACUCCUAUCCCCCGAGAUGUAAUACAUUCCCAGAAAGAGGGGCAAGAACCCCAUGAAAGCUGUGGGACUGGCCUGGGCCAUCGGCUUCCCUUGUGGUAUCCUUCUCUUCAUCCUCACCAAGCAGGAAGUGGACAAGGACCGUGUGAAACAGAUGAGGGCUCGGCAGAACAUGCGGGUGUCCAACACUGGCGAGUAUGAGAGCCAGAGGUUCAGGGCCUCCUCCCAACGUGCCCCGUCCACUGUUGUUGGGUCUGGACUGCA